rnacentral:rRNA from 1 species
GAUUAACGCUGGCGGCGUGCAUAACACAUGCAAGUCGAACGAUGAAACUUAAAUGAUUUCUUCGGAAUGAACUUAAGUGGAUUAGUGGCGGACGGGUGAGUAACGCGUGAGUAACCUGCCUUACACAAGGGGAUAGCCGUUGGAAACGACGAAUAAUACCCUAUGAAACUAUCACUUCGCAUGAAGCGAUAGUCAAAGUGUUAGCGGUGUAAGAUGGACUUGCGUCUGAUUAGCUAGUUGGUGAGAAAAAAGCCCACCAAGGCAACGAUCAGUAGCCGGCUUGAGAGAGUGUACGGCCACAUGGGGACUGAGACACGGCCCAGACUCCUACGGGAGGCAGCAGUGGGGAAUUUUGCACAAUGGGGGAAACCCUGAUGCAGCGACGCCGCGUGAUUUAGAAGGCCUUCGGGUUGUAAAAAUCUUUUGUAUAGGAAGAAAAUGACAGUACUAUACGAAUAAGGUUCGGCUAAUUACGUG